UACGAAGGGGGCUAGCGUUGUUCGGAAUUACUGGGCGUAAAGCGCGCGCAGGCGGUCUUCCAAGUCAGUGGUGAAAGCCCGGAGCUCAACUCCGGAACUGCCAUUGAAACUGUUAGACUUGAGGAUGAGAGAGGUGAGUGGAAUUCCCAGUGUAGAGGUGAAAUUCGUAGAUAUUGGGAAGAACACCAGUGGCGAAGGCGGCUCACUGGCCCGGUACUGACGCUGAGGCGCGAAAGCGUGGGGAGCAAACAGG
rnacentral:rRNA from 1 species